AGUGAAUAGAUACCCGGGUAGUCCACGCCGUAAACGAUGAUCACUCGAUGUUGGCGAUACACAGUCAGCGUCUUAGCGAAAGUAUUAAGUGAUCCACCUGGGGAGUACGGUCGCAAGAUUGAAACUCAAAGGAAUUGACGGGGGCCCGCACAAGCGGAGGAGCAUGUGGUUUAAUUCGAUGAUACGCGAGGAACCUUACCUGGGCUCGAACGUGGACUGACAGUCGCGGAAACGUGAUCUUCUUCGGACAUUCUACGAGGUGCUGCAUGGUUGUCGUCAGCUCGUGCCGUGAGGUGUCGGGUUAAGUCCCAUAACGAGCGCAACCCCUAUCUUUAGUUGCCAUCAGGUAAUGCUGGGGACUCUAAAGAAACUGCCUACGCAAGUAGUGAGGAAGGCGGGGAUGACGUCAAAUCAGCACGGCCCUUACGUCCAGGGCUACACACGUGCUACAAUGGCCGGUACAGAGGGCAGCUACCUGGUGACAGGAUGCAAAUCUCCAAAGCCGGUCUCAGUUCGAAUCGAAGU
rnacentral:rRNA from 1 species